CGUUAGAGCACUGAGAGGACCUUUCCCUAGUACGAGAGGACCGGGAAGGACGCACCUCUGGUGUACCAGUUAUCGUGCCCACGGUAAACGCUGGGUAGCCAAGUGCGGAGCGGAUAACUGCUGAAAGCAUCUAAGUAGUAAGCCCACCCCAAGAUGAGUGCUCUCCUAUUCUAACUUCCCUAGAGCCUCCGGUAGCACAGCCGAGACAGCGACGGGUUCUCUGCCCCUGCGGGGAUGGAGCGACAGAAGUUUUGAGAAUUCAAGAGAAGGUCAUGGCGAGUCGAGCCGUUUAUCAUUGCGAUAGGUGUUAAGUGGAAGUGCAGUGAUGUAUGCAGCUGAGGCAUCCUAACAGACCGG
rnacentral:lncRNA from 1 species